AGCAGCCGCGGUAAUUCCAGCUCCAAUAGCGUAUAUUAAAGUUGUUGCAGUUAAAAAGCUCGUAGUUGAAUUUCGGGGUUAGUAGGUUGGUCAUGCCUCUGGUAUGUACAGGUCUCACUGAUUCCUCCUUCCUGAUGAGCCGUAAUGCCAUUAAUUUGGUGUUGCGGGGAAUUUGGACUGUUACUUUGAAAAAUUGAGUGUUUAAAGCAAGCUAACGCUCGAAUACAUUAGCAUGGAAUAAUGAAAUAGGACGUUCGAUCCUAUUUUGUUGGUUUCUAGGAUUGACGUAAUGAUUAAUAGGGAUAGUUGGGGGCAUUAGUAUUCAAUUGUCAGAGGUGAAAUUCUUGGAUUUAUUGAAGACUAACUACUGCGAAAGCAUUUGCCAAGGAUGUUUUCAUUAAUCAAGAACGAAAGUUAGGGGAUCGAAGACGAUCAGAUACCGUCGUAGUCUUAACCAUAAACUAUGCCGACUAGGGAUCGGAUGAUGUUAAUUUUAAUGACUCAUUCGGCGCCUUAACC
rnacentral:rRNA from 1 species